CUUGUCUCUCUGCCUCUCACAGGUGCAGUACAAUGAUGGGCAGAAUGGCAAGGAGUUCAUGACCUACCUGACCCUCUCGCCUGUGCAGAUGACGUUCCAUGGCAUUGGGAGCUCCCUCCAAGCCAGCCACGACCAGGCGGCUCUAAGUGCCUUGAAACAGCUGUCGGAGCAGGGUCUGGACACGGUGGACGGCCCUAUCAAAAGCGGUGAGCCGUGUGGGAGGGAGGACGGACACUGACCAGACUAACUCAGGCACCACCACUCAGGUCUGCAAGGAUUCAAAGGCUGUCGUCUAGGAGCUGCCCCCCCACCCACCCCUUCCUCCUCCUUCUUUCCCCACCUUCCCCACUCCCACACCACCCCCCCACCACCUACCCAGGACUGGCCAAACACCCCCCCCCCCCCCACGACCGCCGCUGUAUCCUGCAACACCUGUCAACAUGCAAUAGGGUGGAUGUGUACCGAGAAAUGACCGACUAAAUAAAAACACCAUUACCCGAGUCUAUGUGAAGACAACACUAUCCUAACACAUUACAUUUCUUAAUAAUUUCAAUGGAGUCAAAGAUCAUCAAAAGAAAAAAAGAACAAGCUAAAAUGUCAAAUCAAUCAGUGAAUGAGAUUAAAAAUGCAUGGUACUGUUUCAGAUCACGGGGAAUCCAAAGUAAAUAUACAUAGACAGUUUCCCCUUUGAAUAGAUGUUUUGUUGGUAUGGUUAACACAAAUUUGUACAUCUUGCCAUUGAUGCAAAGGAAACCUUUUAGGGGAGAAAACAGACUUUACAAGGGUAUUAUGUUUCUUUUUUUGUUCCUUUUUUUUGUUUUGUUUUUCAUUAAUCUAACAAUGCUUGAGUACUGUAUUUCAAAUUAACCAAUGCCAGUGCUGUGAAAGUAGUAGUUGUCUUCAUAUAUCGUCACCCAGCUUACUUUUCAUGCUGAUAAUGAGUUCAUCUAUCUAUAUGGAUGUGUAUGACUUGCAGAAAUAUCAUAUACUGUACUGAAAAAUAACACUAAGAAAAGAUCAUGUGGAGAAAAAGAUCCAAACUGGUGUUAGACGUAAUCAGUAGAAGUGGAAAACUGCCAGAGUCGAGGUUGGGCCAAUCUUUGAGUCCUCCGGUUCUGCCUGUCCUCAUGUCCCCCAUCUCUCAUGUAGCACCACUGGAAAUGGUCCAUUCAACAUCAAUGCAGAAUAGCUUUUGGAAGCUAUGUUGAGAUCAUACCUGCGUAACUACAAAAUAAAAAACGACCUGGAUUCUGGAAAGCCGCUACAGCAUUCUGGAAUGAACUCAUUCUAGAAUACUGCAGUGAUGUUUUAGAAUGGAUGGAUCUAUUGAGGGCAACCGGGGGAACAGGACAGUCCAGUGAUUCUACAUCAGAGGAUCUCUCCCCCACAGUUUUGUCGAUCACACCUACACCCAUUGUGUGUGUUGUAUUGACCGCCAAGGCAUCAACUGGGUGCUUUUAAUCCCUGCGUUCUGAAGCACGGACGAGGGCGUCUUGCUCCGGGAAGGUUACUACUUGAAUCACUCGUUCUCUCACAUGGACGACGUGAGGAUAUCUUCGCUGCGAGUGUCAAUGUGUACGCAAUUAAGAAGUCUCUGUUCCAGAAAUGCAGUAAAAUCACCUCAGUUCAUGUUGAAAACAAA